UACGUAGGGGGCUAGCGUUGUCCGGAAUCAUUGGGCGUAAAGCGCGUGUAGGCGGCUCGGUAAGUCCGCUGUGAAAGUCGGGGGCUCAACCCUCGGAUGCCGGUGGAUACUGUCGAGCUUGAGUACGGAAGAGGCGAGUGGAAUUCCUGGUGUAGCGGUGAAAUGCGCAGAUAUCAGGAGGAACACCAGCGGCGAAGGCGGCGCUCUGGGCCGGUACUGACACUGAGGAGCGAAAGCGUGGGUAGCAAACAGG
rnacentral:rRNA from 1 species